GGUCUAAUAGUGUAGAGGUUAUAACAUGGGAUUUUGAUGCCAUCAAACUUCCCAUAACCCAGGUUCGAGUCCUUUUGGUCUG